UACGUAGGGUGCAAGCGUUAAUCGGAAUUACUGGGCGUAAAGCGUGCGCAGGCGGUUAUGUAAGACAGUUGUGAAAUCCCCGGGCUCAACCUGGGAACUGCAUCUGUGACUGCAUAGCUAGAGUACGGUAGAGGGGGAUGGAAUUCCGCGUGUAGCAGUGAAAUGCGUAGAUAUGCGGAGGAACACCGAUGGCGAAGGCAAUCCCCUGGACCUGUACUGACGCUCAUGCACGAAAGCGUGGGGAGCAAAUAGG
rnacentral:rRNA from 1 species